rnacentral:lncRNA from 1 species
UGGAGACAGAGAAAUAUUUUACUGUAAUAAAAUAAAACUGCAGAUCAAAUUAGAUAACAGAUGGAAACAGACAUUUGUUGGUGAAAAGAGUGGAGAGAAUUGGGGUGAACAGGAAACUCUAGGCCUUGUAUAAAGGGAAUAGUUGUGACUUUGAUCCUGAUGAUUGCUGUCACUAGAAUUUGGGCUUAAUGGAACAAUAUCUCCUAUUGCUUUAAAAGAAGUCAGAAAUUUAGAAUAUUUAAAAAUUGGAAAUCAUCUACUUUUUAUAUGUUGGUUUUUGUCCCUCUCUCUUCCAAUUCUUCAGUGGAAAUUCUUCAAGGAAAACCUAUUUUGGGGGCUGGAAACUGUCCACAGGUCUCUAGUUUGUGACCGUGUCUGGAAAAAGAUGAGAGGACGCCAAGAUCAGUAGAACAAUGACUGGAACCCAGAUGAAGAUCACCUAUAACCUGUUAUCUUGCAAGAGGACUACUGACUCUUAAGAGCCCACCCUCAUUUGGUCCCAAAGAUUAUCUCUGCUUUGUACCAUCCUUGCAUGGGAUUUCCCAUAGAUAGAUAGACUCCAGCUGGUGUGCUCUAUUCUCCUGGGUCCAAUGCUUGUCAUUAUAUUUAUCAGCUGAGUCACCACUUCUAGUUUUUAGCAUAGGACCUUAUCAAGAGUAAGUCUACCAACACCAAGGGCAUGGAAGAUGAUGGGAAUUGGCUCUGUGAGGUAAAACCCUAGGUGCUUAACAAAUGAGAGGUGUUUAUUAUUAUUAUUGCUAAUUACUAUUACUAUUGUAGAGAUUUAUUCAAGGAGUAUAUUCCUGUUCUGUAGAGCUGCACUGUUUAUUACAGUAGCCACCAGCCACAUAAAGCUAUAUAAAUUUAUUAGUUAAAAUGAAAUAAAAUAAAAAAUUCAGUUCCUCA